rnacentral:rRNA from 1 species
AACGAACGCUGGCGGCAGGCCUAACACAUGCAAGUCGAGCGAGGACUUCGGUUCUAGCGGCGGAAGGGUGAGUAACGCGUGGGAAUGUGCCCUUCUCUACGGUAUAGCUCUGGGAAACUGGGCGUAAUACCGCAUACGCUCUUUCGGGGUAAGAUUUAUCGGAGAAGGAUCUGCCCGCGGUGGAUUAGGUUGUUGGUGGGGUAAUGGCCGACCAAGCCGACGAUCCAUAGCUGGUUUGGGUGGAUGAUCAGCCACACUGGGACUGGGACACGGCCCAGACUCCUAGGGGAGGCAGCAGUGGGGAAGCUUAGACGAUGGGGGCGAGCCUGAUGUAGCCAUGUCGCGUGAGUGAUGAAGGCGUUAGGGUUGUAAAGCGCUUUCAGCUGGGAAGAUAAUGACGGUACCAGCAGAAGAAGCCCCGGCUAACUCCGUG